GACGAAGGUGGCAAGCGUUAUUCGGAUUUACUGGGCAUAAAGCGCGCGUAGGCGGCUUGGCAAGUCGGGGGUGAAAGCCCGCAGCUCAACUGCGGAACUGCCUUCGAUACUGCCGGGCUUGAGGGCGGGAGGGGUGAUUGGAAUUCCAGGUGUAGCGGUGAAAUGCGUAGAUAUCUGGAGGAACACCGGUGGCGAAGGCGGCGUUCUGGACUGCAACUGACACUGAGGAACGAAAGCCAGGGGAGCAAACGGG
rnacentral:rRNA from 1 species